CUUACCGCUACGGGCAAGAAAGACAAAAAACAAAGAGAUCCUGUUAACAGUGAGCCUCUCCUUCACAGCUAAACUGCCUGUGAUUUUUUGUGUCAUUUUUCAAAGAAAGAAAAAAGGGGGAGAGAGAAGAAAAAAAAACAUGCAAGACGCUUUGAGGGAAUUUGUUUUCCCUCCUGGAACUGAAUGCAUUUCACACAUAAUGGGAUCAGGCUCACUAUCCCAGCCAGACAUCAAAUAGGAGCACAUGGAUGUCACAGCUACUUUCAAGGAACAAUGGAUGGCGAUGUGGAAUGAGACAGGGCCGGUACAGUAGACACAAUGCAUGAGGGAAUGAAAGGCCGAGGCACAACCUACAACACAAACUACAACACACAAGAGGAUUACACGGCAUCUGGACCGGCGGAGGCACAACGGAAGCAGACUUUAAAGCCAUACAUCACUUAAGUCCAGUGUUCUCUGCUGUUCCUGCUUCCACUUUUUUCUUUUUUUGUAAAUGCAGUGCUGUAAUUUAUCUCCUCCCGCCCCUGAAACCGUCUCAGAUGUGAUGUUUGAAGACUCUGGUUGCUUUAAAUAUCGGCCUGAUCUCGUCUCUAGAGGCUGGAUUGCUUAAGACAUCCCAGAGUAGUACGAUUUUCCUGUUUGUGGAGCUGUAGUCAAGCAGAAAAGGGCGCCAGAAUGAAUCCUGAGGAAGACUCCGCCACUCAGAAAUCCAAUAAACCCGCAAGAAGCCUGACAAGACAUUUGAGCGUUGGGAUGCUGAAGAAGGAUCACCACAUAGAUCAGCGGGAGAGCCGAGCUUCAGUCCUGUCAGAGUUAUGAAGAAAAAUCCCUCCAAUGACAAGUUUGGUUUUAUCAAGGUGAUGCUGAGCUGACAAGAGCUCUCAACUCCCCACACUUCAUCACUGACAUCUUCCUCCGGCCGUCCGAGCGAGCGCAGCACGCCAUGAAGGAGGGGAGGAAGAGGAGUGACUGUCAGUAAGCCUCGGUAAUUCAUCUUCUGCCGUGGCUUUCUCAUCAUCCUCGCUGGCUGUCAGGAAUCAGGAACAUUUCCAAACUCAGAGGGCCGAAGAACUCCGAAAUGAUAACCCUCCACGCCAGCGCUGAAAUAACAGCCGGAUUAAGACGGACGGCGUCUGGGAGAGAUCCUGAGAUUUUCCCGCCGUCGAUAUCUAUUAUCCUUCAUCGAAAUGAAAAAGGGAAGAGGAGAGAAAAAGCAGCACUGCCAGGACGUCGCUCUGUGACAGCAGCUUCGUUUACUUCAACAAGUUCAUUCACCUGAACACAACUGAAACAACGUUUUCCUCUACAGACGCUCUUCUACACGUGGAGCAGGAAAAUCUUUAUAUCCAACCUAUACCUGAAGGAAUAUAUCUGCAUACGUCUUUAUUAAAAGUAAUAAAAAACUGAAUGUUUUUUAUGUCCAUUAUGAUCAUGUCUUUACAAAUUCUAUAAUUAUUUAUUAUGGAACAAAUCAUUUAUUAAUAAAACUGACUGGAUAUCACUAAAAUAUCAACUAAAUAACGUCUGAAUUUAACACCAACCACCUUCUAAUGAGAUAAACAAUAAAAUGAGCUGAUUCAGAAAUAGUUUGGAUUGUGUUCUUCUGAUUAAGCUGAGAUGACUCAGAACACGUCCACAAUGACUCAAAUUCUCAAAAUGUUUUGAAAAUGAUCCAUAAUUAUGUAAAAAGAAUCCAGAAUGACAUGACAUUUGUUCUAAAUGACCCCACAUUAAAAAAAAAAAUCAUUUUUACCUUGUCUCGUUUUGUUAUUUCAGCUGUGUGAAGCAAACUAAAAUAAAAGCAAAAUAAAAAUGUUGUCACUCAGGGUAA